rnacentral:rRNA from 1 species
AUUGAACGCUGGCGGCAGGCCUAACACAUGCAAGUCGAACGGCAGCACAGAGAGCUUGCUCUCGGGUGGCGAGUGGCGGACGGGUGAGUAAUGUCUGGGGAACUGCCUGAGGGAGGGGGGAUAACUACUGGAAACGGUAGCUAAUACCGCAUAACGUCGCAAGACCAAAGUGGGGGACCUUCGGGCCUCAUGCCAUUGGAUGUACCCAGAUGGGAUUAGCUAGUAGGUGGGGUAAGGGCUCACCUAGGCGACGAUCCCUAGCUGGUCUGAGAGGAUGACCAGCCACACUGGAACUGAGACACGGUCCAGACUCCUACGGGAGGCAGCAGUGGGGAAUAUUGCACAAUGGGCGCAAGCCUGAUGCAGCCAUGCCGCGUGUAUGAAGAAGGCCUUCGGGUUGUAAAGUACUUUCAGCGGGGAGGAAGGCGAUACGGUUAAUAACCGUGUCGAUUGACGUUACCCGCAGAAGAAGCACCGGCUAACUCCGUGCCAGCCGCCGCGGUAA